rnacentral:rRNA from 1 species
UUAAAUUGAAGAGUUUGAUCAUGGCUCAGAUUGAACGCUGGCGGCAGGCCUAACACAUGCAAGUCGAACGGUAACAGGAAGCAGCUUGCUGCUUCGCUGACGAGUGGCGGACGGGUGAGUAAUGUCUGGGAAACUGCCUGAUGGAGGGGGAUAACUACUGGAAACGGUAGCUAAUACCGCAUAACGUCGCAAGACCAAAGAGGGGGACCUUCGGGCCUCUUGCCAUCGGAUGUGCCCAGAUGGGAUUAGCUAGUAGGUGGGGUAACGGCUCACC